UACUGCUGACGUCUGCUUUCAUGAUCAAGGCUUGAACUGGAGAGCAGUCAGCUGCUCUGCUCCUCCUUAGGUGCUUCCCUAGAGUCACCAAAUAGAACAGCUCUGAGCUACACACAGCUACAAGGCUGAGAAGACUGAUGCAGUUUCCUAGAAACCCUAACAGUGAUUCUGGAAGAGAAACUGGAGUGGCAAUGGCCAAAAAGACCUGCACAGCCACCUGAUAGUUCGUGAGAAGGUGGAGGCUGCCUACUGCAUUGCCAGUGCCACUUGAAUCGCCCAUGAGUCAGGAUGUCCUUCCACCGGCCCCAGCUGAUGGUAAGAAUACAGAAGGUAUUGGAGGAAGAGCCAGACACACCCUCCACACAGCAUGAAUUAAAGAGACAAGAU